UGGGGAAUCUUGGACAAUGGGCGCAAGCCUGAUCCAGCCAUGCCGCGUGAGUGAAGAAGGCCUUAGGGUUGUAAAGCUCUUUUGCCAGGGACGAUAAUGACGGUACCUGGAGAAUAAGCCCCGGCAAACUUCGUGCCAGCAGCCGCGGUAAUACGAAGGGGGCUAGCGUUGUUCGGAAUUACUGGGCGUAAAGCGCACGUAGGCGGAUUGUUAAGUCAGGGGUGAAAUCCCGAGGCUCAACCUCGGAACUGCCUUUGAUACUGGCAAUCUAGAGACUGGAAGAGGUUAGUGGAAUUCCCAGUGUAGAGGUGAAAUUCGUAGAUAUUGGGAAGAACACCAGUGGCGAAGGCGGCUAACUGGUCCAGUACUGACGCUGAGGUGCGAAAGCGUGGGGAUCAAA
rnacentral:rRNA from 1 species